rnacentral:tRNA from 1 species
GACUUGGUAGCUCCGUUGGUAGAGCACUGCACCGGUAUCGCAGAGGUCAUGGGUUCGAAUCCCGUCCAAGCUUGAACU